GAUGAACGCUGGCGGCGUGCCUAAUACAUGCAAGUCGAGCGAACAGACGAGGAGCUUGCUACUCUGACGUUAGCGGCGGACGGGUGAGUAACACGUGGAUAACCUACCUAUAAGACUGGGAUAACUUCGGGAAACCGGAGCUAAUACCGGGUAAUAUCUUGAACCGCAUGGUUCAAUAGUUAAAGACGGUUUUGCUGUAACUUAUAGAUGUAUCCGCGCCGCAUUAGCUAUUUGGUACGGUAACGGCUUACCAAGGCAACGCUGCGUAGCUGACCUGGCAAGGGGUAGGCGCACAGAGAGACUGAGACGCGACACAGACUCCUACGGGAGGCAGAAAUAGGGACGCGAGCGAGAUGGGCGAAAGCCUGACGGAGGAGCGCAGCGUGAGUGCAGAAGGUCUGCGGAUCGGAAGACUCUGUUAUGAGUGAAGACCAAAUGUGGAAGUAACUAUGCACGUCUUGACGGUACCUAAUCAGAAAGCCACGGCUAACUACGUG
rnacentral:rRNA from 1 species